rnacentral:misc_RNA from 1 species
GAAAUGCGAUAAUUAAUGUGAAUUGCAGAAUUCAGUGAAUCAUCGAGUCUUUGAACGCACCUUGCGCCCCCUGGUAUUCCGGGGGGCAUGCCUGUCCGAGCGUCAUUGCUGCCCUCAAGCACGGCUUGUGUGUUGGGCUUCCGUCCCUGGCAACGGGGACGGGCCCAAAAGGCAGUGGCGGCACCAUGUCUGGUCCUCGAGCGUAUGGGGCUUUGUCACCCGCUCCCGUAGGUCCAGCUGGCAGCUAGCCUCGCAACCAAUCUUUUUAACCAGGUUGACCUCGGAUCAGGUAGGGAUACCCGCUGAACUUAAGC